ACUCUAAUAGUUUAUGAAAACAUCGGUCUUGUGAACCGAAGAAUGAAGGCCACUUCCCUUCUUAGAGUU
rnacentral:tRNA from 1 species